rnacentral:rRNA from 1 species
CCUACGGGUGGCAGCAGUGGGGAAUAUUGGACAAUGGGGGGAACCCUGAUCCAGCGACGCCGCGUGAGUGAAGAAGUAUUUCGGUAUGUAAAGCUCUAUCAGCAGGGAAGAAAGCAAUGACGGUACCUGACUAAGAAGCCCCGGCUAACUACGUGCCAGCAGCCGCGGUAAUACGUAGGGGGCAAGCGUUAUCCGGAUUUAUUGGGUUUAAAGGGUGCGCAGGCGGCGAGUUAAGUCAGAGGUAAAAUUGCGGGGCUCAACCCCGACGCGCACUUGGAACUGGAUGGCUAGAGUGGGGGAGAGGUAGGCGGAAUUCGUGGUGUAGCGGUGAAAUGCAUAGAUAUCACGCAGAACUCCGAUUGCGAAGGCAGCAUACCGGCGUCUAACUGACGUUCAGGCACGAAAGCGUGGGUAUCGAACAGGAUUAGAUACCCGAGUAGUC